CACCCGAUUUGAGCUUUCCACCCG
rnacentral:siRNA from 1 species